GAUGAACGCUGGCGGCGUGCCUAAUACAUGCAAGUCGAGCGAACGGACGAGAAGCUUGCUUCUCUGAUGUUAGCGGCGGACGGGUGAGUAACACGUGGAUAACCUACCUAUAAGACUGGGAUAACUUCGGGAAACCGGAGCUAAUACCGGAUAAUAUUUUGAACCGCAUGGUUCAAAAGUGAAAGACGGUCUUGCUGUCACUUAUAGAUGGAUCCGCGCUGCAUUAGCUAGUUGGUAAGGUAACGGCUUACCAAGGCAACGAUGCAUAGCCGACCUGAGAGGGUGAUCGGCCACACUGGAACUGAGACACGGUCCAGACUCCUACGGGAGGCAGCAGUAGGGAAUCUUCCACAAUGGGCGAAAGCCUGACGGAGCAACGCCGCGUGAGUGAUGAAGGUCUUCGGAUCGUAAAACUCUGUUAUUAGGGAAGAACAUAUGUGUAAGUAACUGUGCACAUCUUGACGGUACCUAAUCAGAAAGCCACGGCUAACUACGUGCCAGCAGCCGCGGUAAUACGUAGGUGGCAAGCGUUAUCCGGAAUUAUUGGGCGUAAAGCGCGCGUAGGCGGUUUUUUAAGUCUGAUGUGAAAGCCCACGGCCCAACCGUGGAGGGUCAUUGGAAACUGGAAAACUUGAGUGCAGAAGAGGAAAGUGGAAUUCCAUGUGUAGCGGUGAAAUGCGCAGAGAUAUGGAGGAACACCAGUGGCGAAGGCGACUUUCUGGUCUGUAACUGACGCUGAUGUGCGAAAGCGUGGGGAUCAAACAGGAUUAGAUACCCUGGUAGUCCACGCCGUAAACGAUGAGUGCUAAGUGUUAGGGGGUUUCCGCCCCUUAGUGCUGCAGCUAACGCAUUAAGCACUCCGCCUGGGGAGUACGACCGCAAGGUUGAAACUCAAAGGAAUUGACGGGGACCCGCACAAGCGGUGGAGCAUGUGGUUUAAUUCGAAGCAACGCGAAGAACCUUACCAAAUCUUGACAUCCUUUGACAACUCUAGAGAUAGAGCUUUCCCCUUCGGGGGACAAAGUGACAGGUGGUGCAUGGUUGUCGUCAGCUCGUGUCGUGAGAUGUUGGGUUAAGUCCCGCAACGAGCGCAACCCUUAAGCUUAGUUGCCAUCAUUAAGUUGGGCACUCUAAGUUGACUGCCGGUGACAAACCGGAGGAAGGUGGGGAUGACGUCAAAUCAUCAUGCCCCUUAUGAUUUGGGCUACACAGGUGCUACAAUGGACAAUACAAAGGGCAGCGAAACCGCGAGGUCAAGCAAAUCCCAUAAAGUUGUUCUCAGUUCGGAUUGUAGUCUGCAACUCGACUACAUGAAGCUGGAAUCGCUAGUAAUCGUAGAUCAGCAUGCUACGGUGAAUACGUUCCCGGGUCU
rnacentral:rRNA from 1 species